rnacentral:rRNA from 1 species
AGGACGAACGCUGGCGGCGUGCUUAACACAUGCAAGUCGGACGCGCCUGCCUUUUGGGGUGGGUGAGUGGCGAACGGGUGAGUAACACGUGGGCAACUUGCCCUGCGCUUCGGGAUAAGCCUGGGAAGCUGGGUCUAAUACCGGGUAGGACUUGUCUUCGCAUGGGGGCGGGUGGAAAGCCUCGUUUUGGCGGGGUGCGCAGGAUGGGCUCGCGGCCUAUCAGCUUGUCGGUGGGGUGAUGGCUCACCGAGGCUUUGACGGGUAGCCGGUCUGAGAGGGCGGUCGGCCACACUGGGACUGAGACACGGCCCAGACUCCUACGGGAGGCAGCAGUGGGGAAUCUUGGACAAUGGGGGAAACCCUGAUCCAGCCAUGCCGCGUGAGUGAUGAAGGCCUUAGGGUUGUAAAACUCUUUCGGCGGGGACGAUAAUGACGGUACCCGCAGAAGAAGCUCCGGCUAACUUCGUGCCAGCAGCCGC